CAGCCGCCGCGGGAAUACGUAGGGUGCGAGCGUUAAUCGGAAUUACUGGGCGUAAAGCGUGCGCAGGCGGUUGUGUAAGACAGGUGUGAAAUCCCCGGGCUUAACCUGGGAACUGCGCUUGUGACUGCACAGCUAGAGUAUGGCAGAGGGGGGUGGAAUUCCACGUGUAGCAGUGAAAUGCGUAGAGAUGUGGAGGAACACCGAUGGCGAAGGCAGCCCCCUGGGCCAAUACUGACGCUCAUGCACGAAAGCGUGGGGAGCGAACAGGAUUAGAUACCCCCGUAGUCCCUGUCUCUUAUAC
rnacentral:rRNA from 1 species